rnacentral:rRNA from 1 species
UACGGAGGGUGCAAGCGUUAUCCGGAUUCACUGGGUUUAAAGGGUGCGUAGGUGGGUUGGUAAGUCAGUGGUGAAAUCUCCAGGCUUAACUUGGAAACUGCCAUUGAUACUAUCAAUCUUGAAUACCGUGGAGGUCAGCGGAAUAUGUCAUGUAGCGGUGAAAUGCUUAGAUAUGACAUAGAACACCAAUGGCGAAGGCAGCUGGCUAGACGAAUAUUGACACUGAUGCACGAAAGCGUGGGGAGCAAACAGG